UACGGAGGGUGCAAACGUUGUUCGGAAUUACUGGGCGUAAAGGGCGCGUAGGCGGCCUGCUAAGUCGAACGUGAAAUCCCUGGGCUCAACCCAGGAGCUGCGUCCGAUACUGGUUGGCUUGAAUCCGGGAGAGGGAUGUGGAAUUCCAGGUGUAGCGGUGAAAUGCGUAGAUAUCUGGAGGAACACCGGUGGCGAAGGCAGGUCUCUGGGCUGACACUGACGCUCAUGCACGAAAGCGUGGGGAGCAAACAGG
rnacentral:rRNA from 1 species